UCCGGUUUGUCACCGGCAGUCUCGCAUGAGUCCCCAACUGAAUGCUGGCAACAUGCGACGGGGGUUGCGCUCGUUGCGCCACUUAAGGCAACACCUCACGGCACGAUCUGACGACGGCCGUGCAGCACCUGUGCGGGCUCCCGAAGGAGGACCGUAUUUCUACGGCUUCACCCCGCAUGUCAAGUCCUGGUAAGGUUCUUCGCGUCGCGUCGAAUUAAGCCACAUGCUCCGCCGCUUGUGCGGGCCCCCGUCAAUUCCUUUGAGUUUUAAUCUUGCGACCGUACUCCCCAGGCGGGAUGCUUAAAGCGUUAGCUGCGCCACUGACGAGCAAGCUCGCCAACGGCUAGCAUCCAUCGUUUACGGCGUGGACUAC
rnacentral:misc_RNA from 1 species